AAGGUUAAGUUUAUACGAAGUUCGUGGAACUUCUUGUUGCUGUCCUCUACCCUUGAACAAGAUGUUAGUGUUGAACAGUUGGGCUUCUUGUCCAAAGUCAGAGUAGUCGAGCUAGUUGACAAGCUCAUUCCAAAAGAAGGUCCCAAGUCUCAAUUCUUACAUCAUUGGGAGAAAUUUCAUAAAGUGA